AGGUCAUGUUUUCGAUUGGAAAUUCUAUACUUUCAGGAGCUGCAGGUCUUUUCAAUUUCGUGUCCCAGUCGAUGGUGUUCUUUUGGGUACUUUAUUAUCUUAUCACAUCGGAGUUUGGAGGAGCAACGGAACAAGUAAUAUGUAUGCUUCCAAUACCACAUUCUGCAAGAACUCGAUGUGUUGAAGUUCUUGAUAAAGCAAUUUCUGGUGUCAUUUUAGCUACUGCUGAGAUUGCAUUCUUUCAGGGAUGCCUGACUUGGCUCUUGUUUAGAUUAUACUCGAUACAUUUUCUGUACAUGUCGACUGUUCUUGCAUUUAUAAGUCCUUUG
rnacentral:misc_RNA from 1 species